UACGGGGGGGCAAGCGUUGUUCGGAAUUACUGGGCGCAAAGCGAGUGUAGGUUGUUGUCCAAGUUGGAUGUGAAAGCCUUGAGCUCAACUCAAGAAAUGCAUUCAGGACUGGGCGGCUAGAGGACCGGAGAGGAUAGUGGAAUUCCCAGUGUAGUGGUGAAAUACGUAGAGAUUGGGAAGAACACCAGUGGCGAAGGCGGCUAUCUGGACGGUUUCUGACACUAAGACUCGAAAGCGUGGGGAGCAAACAGG
rnacentral:rRNA from 1 species